AGCGUGACAGGAGGAGACAGCUGCAGCUCCCCCCUUGAGCUAUAAAAAGCCCCAGCAGCCGAGUGAGCAGAGGGUACGCCAAGCAGAUACACGGAACUUAGCUGCACUCCGGGGGAGCUCGGCUCCACUAUGAUGCUGAGGUUACCCUGUGCCCCUAGGCUCCUGCAGGCCUCUCUGAGGGCCUGGGUGGUUCCCAAGGCACAUGUCUCCACGAAGCCGGCCCGAACACCCACGUCUCCCACGGAGCAAGCCAUUGGACUCUCUGUGAUGUUCCUCAGCUUCCUGAUUCCUGCAGGCUGGGUCUUAUCCCACCUGGACAGCUACAAGAAAGGCCCCGAGGUGUGAAGGCUCCGCAGCUCGGGCUCCAGGCGCACGACGGAGAAUUGCAUUAAACCCCUCCUCCACCUAGUG